GACGAACCGAGCGAACGUUGUUCGGAAUCACUGGGCUUAAAGGGCGCGUAGGCGGGCAAGCAAGUCCGGGGUGAAAGCUUUCGGCUCAACCGCAAAAGGGCCUUGGAUACUGCUUGUCUGGAGGGAGGUAGGGGCCCGUGGAACUUCCGGUGGAGCGGUGAAAUGCGUUGAUAUCGGAAGGAACGCCGGUGGCGAAAGCGACGGGCUGGAUCUCUACUGACGCUGAGGCGCGAAAGCCAGGGGAGCAAACGGG
rnacentral:rRNA from 1 species